CAAAGCCCCUCAAAUGGCCGAACAGAAGCUCCAUGAGGGCAAGGGCCUCCCUCCGUCCGCCCGCUGCUGAAUCUCUACCAGGUGCAAUAGCACCCCACUGUGGUGGGUGUUUAAUAAAUGCUUGCGAGUAAACGAGUGCACUUGACCAAUGGACCACACAGCUCGAACUCUCACAGGAUGCGGCUCUAGGACCUGCUGCCUCCAAAUCCUGCAUGAUAUUGGCCUUCCUCACGAACCCACUCCCCCAGAUCUAAAGAACCUG